rnacentral:lncRNA from 1 species
CUAAAAACAAAUCAUUAAGUAUUAUCUAAAGUCAAAUUGCACCAACUGUCUGACUGAGGCUGGUCCAAGUCUGGCCUUAUCAGCAUUCAGCACCACUGCCCCAGGAUGGAUGAGGAAACAGAACACCACUAAAGGGUAAGCCAGAGACAGAGGGCCCCUGUUCUUGUUUGUUCUGCAAAGCCCUUUAUGUUCUUCUGGAAGAUAGAAAAAGAUAUAUCUGACUGAGAAACAGAACUUUUCACUAUCUUUGAUCAACUGGCUAGAAGAUGUCUCUUUUUCUCUCACUUCUGCUCUUUGCAGGCACUGCAGGAACUCACAUCUCCUGGCAUUGGGAUUGGCAUGGUGUUCAAGGCUGCUCGUCUGCAGUUGUUCAAUGCUGGAUUUCAUGCAACCCCAUGGAAAAUGGGACAAGGAAACAUCUGACACAACUACAAAGCUUCACAAGCCCUUGUUGGGAUGUUGCAUCUUUCCAGGGACUUUUAUGGAAGAGG